rnacentral:rRNA from 1 species
AUUCAACGCUGGCGGCAGGCCUAACACAUGCACGUCGAGCGAGAGGCGGACGGGUGAGUAAUGUAUGGGGGCUGCCCGAUAGAGGGGGAUAACUACUGGAAACGGUAGCUAAUACCGCAUACUAUCGGAUAACCCAUAUGGGAUUAGCUAGUAGGGGAGGUAAUGGCUUACCUAGGCGACGAUCCCUAGCUGGUCUGUGAGGAUGAUCAGCCACACUGCGACGGAGACUCGGCCCAGACUCCUACGGAGGCAGCAGUGGGGAAUAUUGCACAAUGGGCGCAAGCCUGAUCCAGCCAGCCCGCGUGUAUGAUGAAGGCCUUCGGGUUGUAAAGUAGUUUUGGCAGAGAAGCGGUAUCUGCAGAAUAAGCACCGGCUAACUACGUGACAGCAGCCGCGGUAAUAC